GACGAACCGUGCGAACGUUAUUCGGAAUCACUGGGCUUAAAGCGCGUGUAGGCGGGCCAGCACGUCGGGCGCUGAAAUCCCCCGGCUCAACCGGGGAACGGGCACCGAUACGACUGGCCUGGAGGGGAGUAGGGGGACCUGGAACUUCCGGUGGAGCGGUGAAAUGCGCAGAUAUCGGGAAGAACACCCGUGGCGAAGGCGGUUCUCUGGGACGGUACUGACGCUGAGACGCGAAAGCGUGGGGAGCGAACAGG
rnacentral:rRNA from 1 species